AUGUGCAAAGCUGAGAUACUCGCUGUUGAGAUGCUGCAGAAACAAGCGAUGUCAUGUUUCUGUUCCCUACUAGACAUCAGAAGUUCCCUGUUAUUAAAAAAAAUAGACAGUAUUGUAUUAUGUGGUGCUGCACUCUGGACUUGGCAUGUGAGAGGGUGCUGCUUUCCCCUGUUCUGCAGGUACAGGGGUACCCAGGCUCGGAAGCCCUUAGGGCCCUUCGUUGUUGACUUUGUGGGGCAGCGUAGGAGCAGCAGAACAAUUUUUGGUGUACACAUCAGAAGUGUUUCUGAAAUGAGAAUAUAACACUAUACUGAAUGCAUGUUACUUAUAUCCAAGCUGAGUAACAACCCUCAUUAAAAUUAGUAUUUAUGGUUUUCUAAAGAAAGGCUAUGAAUAGGAAAAGAUAAUUAGUUUUUAAAAAAGAAUCCGUGUAUUUUAGGAUCCAUCACACUAAAUGAAGCAAGAUUCCAGCCCAUCACUUAAAUAGUAGUUCAGGUCAUAGAACUGUAGAAUGUUUUUGGGUUAGAAAGGACCUUAAAGAUCACCUCAUUCCAACCCCCUGCCCUGGGCAGGGACACCUCCUACUAGACCAGGUUGCUCAAAGCCCCAUCCAGCCUGGCCUUGAACACUUUUAGGGAUCAUCACAGGUCAUCAAGUUUAUCUUUGUGGUUCUAAAUUUCAACACAAAAUUAAAUAGUCCCAAUAAGGACAGAAAUCCCUUUAAAGCCACUGAUCUCUUGCACACAAAAAAAUCACUUCAUGUGAAUGUCUGAGAACGAGAGUGCACAAACAGGAACCCUUGAAGCCAUUUGGAAAGAUGGGAAAAAUACCACCGAAAGGCAGGGAGCACUGCUCACAGCUCUCAUUCCAGGACAGGGAGCCAUGUGAGGGGAAAGGUGUUGAGGUUACUGGCUGGUGCUGCUGUGUCUAGUCCCCGCUCCCUGGUACCUGCUGCCUCCCCCAGUUCCUCAGGGCUUCAACUGGUCCUUCCCAGUGCUCUGCCCCUGAGGUCACCAAUGGUUUGCCUGAGGCGUAGGCUCCUUCCCAUCUCCCCACGCUCUGUGAGCCCUGCGAUGUCAGCUGCAGCCUCGCUGCAUUCAUCGGGGCCGUGCAGGGUGUCCAGAGGACAACAGGGAGAGUCCAGGAUGCCCCUCCAUGAAUCAUGAAGGCUUCCUUCUACUUCAUUCCAUAAAUUCUAUUAUUUUUUUUAAGCAAGCAUUAACUCCCUCCACAGCAAACACCGCGUUUGCACCGACGCACCCACUAGAGAGGCAAUUAGGUGACUUGUACACAGCGAGAGGAAGAGAGGUAAUGGGAACAGCACAGAGAGGCAAGAAAAUUACCCAAAAAGCAGCAAGCUGCCAACCCGAGUAACUGUAACACCCCCUGCUGCCAUCGCUCACAGAGCUAGAGCCUGGGUGAACCCAAGAGCCUCCCCCAUUUACAGCUGAGAGAGAACCUCAGGGUGAUUAAACCCGCUAAACGAGCGGCUGUACUCUGGAAAGCAGAGUCCUCUCUGCACCCUCCGUCCCAAUUGUUUGUUGUCUUCUCCAUUUGCUUUAUUGUUUGGUAAACCAGCACUUACAAUCACUUUUGCUACGUGAUGUACGGGAGUAUAUAGUAUAUUUUCUUGUUAUACAAGGGAGGAGUAUAAAAUAGUUUUCUGAUUUCUUUCAGAAGCAAAUGACUAUUUUAUUUUUUAAGAGCAAUUGAUUGUGAAUCUCAGAGUAUAAAAAAAAGAUAAAUAAGCCAAAUAUAUACCUUUAUGUAAAUUAAGAAAUAAAAAGUAUUUAAAACAUACCUUUCUUGUGUCU
rnacentral:lncRNA from 1 species